CGCAUAUCAUUCACUAAAAUUAAAUAAAAACAGCUGUAUUUUCAUUGUUCACUCAUUUUCCAAGCAUAUAUUGGUUCUGCACAUUGUAUCAUCAACCACUCAAAUCACAGUAGCAUCUGAUUAAUCCAGCCAUAAGGGAAAAAUAAAAGAAAGAAAGAAGGGGGCUUUUCUUUUAAUAUCAAUCAUUAGUGUGGACAGCAGUGUAAUGUUCAUAAAUAGAAAGAUCCCUUUGGUAUCGUUGCAUGUCAAAGAGAAAAAUGAGGAUAACUUCUGAAAGAAUUGAAUAUUGUGUUGAGCACUUAGGGCUUGUUCCUGAGCCCUCUGAAAGCCAGGGUCUUCCUUGAUAUCAUUUAAAGAAAACAAUACGGAGUAGCAACAUGAUUCAAGGAGCCCUAUCAAAUGGCUUUGUAUCAUUGUAGCAGACAUCCCAGACAGCUUCCAUGGCAUCCUUUGCAGCAGCUUCUGAGCAGUAUGGGUUGGCAAUCACUGAUUUCAUCACUCUUCUUCUCACACAUUCCUGCUCAUGACCUCUUAUUUUCAUGUAACCGCGCAGCAGUUCCCUUUUAUAGUGGCAAUCUCCACUUAGAUGGCCAGCACGAAU
rnacentral:misc_RNA from 1 species